GCGCGAGCUGGGGAUGGUGGGAACCAGGGUUCCCACCUGCCCGGGGGCGCCAUCCCUCCGCUACCUGUCCCGGGCUCCUCUGGACCAGCCCAUCUGGGGUUCCUGCUCCAAACCCUGAGAAGGGCAGCUGAGGCUGGACCAAGGGGUCAAUGCUCAGGGAGGUGACGCGCAGGCUGAGAUGGACCUGCUGCAGGCCCGCCCCAUCCUACUUCCACUCUGAUGCAGGUAGAUUAGACCGAGAGGCCAAACUCACAGAGCCAUUUAUUUGUUGCUUUGCCUAUCUGUUUACCUACACCCUGCCUUGCUGUAGAAUAGAGGUGACAGCAUUCAGCUCAGUAGGAAGAGGAAUUUUCUCAGACCGUCCGUGAUGAGACAGGCAGCCUUGGUGAGGUAGUGAGCUUCCUGUCCCUGGGAGUGUGCAAGCAUGGGCUGGACCACACUCAGAGGGAUGGAGGGGGGAUUCGAGCAGUGACUAGAGAUGAUUUCUCCAGAUAAAGCAGAGAUUUUCCUGCUUUCAGGGGUUCCUGGAAGGGCGCUUAGGCCCAGGUAAAUCCUGAAAGAUGCAGUCAGAUGCUGCAGCCACGCCUGUCUCUGGCCAGGGGCUCAUACCUUCAGCAGGUGCGCCUGAGUUUGCUGUCCCGGGAGUUCACAUGCUGCGCCUGGCUGCCGCCCUUCUCGCUGGGUGCGUUGACGCAGGUGCCCAGCGCCAGCAGGGAGCAGUUGAUGCGGACGCCCUCCUUCAUCCUCUUGCCUCGGUUCUGGGUCUGAGUGAGAAGAAGCCAGCUGGCGGGGAAGUGGUCCUCCCCCGCCCCCGACCCCGCCACCUCCCCACCCCAGGCCCCAGGGGGAGGGGACUGAGGUCCAGAGGAUGCGAUAACCCCAUCCCACCCUGGGAGGCUCAGGGUGGACGCACUGACUACACUCCCACAGCCCAGGGACUGGAGACAGAAACAACACCAGAUUCUGCAGUGGAAUACCACACAGCCAGGAAAGGGGGUGAGGUAGAGCUGUUUACCAAUGUUGAAAAGAUGCUCUCUGUGAAGUGAGAUAAAAAAAGGCUCAGACGGAUGCCUGGGCGGAACAGUCCCCUUUUUAUGAUAAAAAUAUGAACGCGUGUGUCUUCGCGAGAACGUCCCCCCACGCCGAAGCUUUCUUGUCCUCCCAGUCUCAGCCUAGAGGUCCUCCUGGGGAGCGCCCAGGCCCCCUCACCCCACGGGGGUACAUGCUACCCUGUAUAUUUCCUUCAAGUUGCUUAGCUCUCUCGGCAACUAUCUUGCUCUUUUAUGCGUUUGUUGUUUCCCUAACUGCUCCCCACAGAACCUAAGCUCCAUGACGGAGCUGUCAUCUGGGUUGGCCAUCUGUCCCCAGAGCCUGGACACCGGCAGGCGUCUGGCCCACAGUGUGGCUGGAUGUCUGAGCACUGAACAAAUGUAUAAAGAUGCCUGCAGGGGCCUUAGGAGGACACACGCCAAACUGCUGCUGGGAUGACUGCCUCUCAGUGCAGCCGUUGUGGGGACUUUAACUUUCUUCCUUUAGCUUAACCAUAUUUUCCAUAUCUUCUGCACUGAUUUGGUUACAUUUGAAAUCAGCAAGGAAAAUAACGUUUUCUCUUUAAGGGACAUGGGUUUUAGAGCCAGUUUGGAGCACGGCUUGAGAACGGCUUAAAUGACAUCUCAGACAGGUCUCCCAGCCUGUCUCAGUCUCCUUAUUUGUCCAAAGAGGCAGUUGCUGUGGCCAUGGUGAGGAUUUGGCGGGCAACGUGUGUAAGAGGCCAGCUCAGAGGUGGGCCCACAGAAGCGAGCAGCGAACGUGAGCUGCUCCUUUCACUGGGUGGGAGCUGCCGGCAUGACCAGGCCAUGGCAGCUGUCACGUGUCUGUGCCCCAGAAUUCGGGGGUUUUCUCAGACGCCUUGUGUCCUGGAACAAACUCCUCUGUGAGUGAUUUUCUGUGAAGAAAUGACAGACUGUGAGAGCCAACCAGACCUGAAGACAGCCCGCUGGGCCCCCUGAGCAUACAGCUUAAAACCAAGGCCCAGAGAGGGACAGGGGCCUGGCCAAAGGCACACAGCUAUUUGGAGCAGAGGGAGAACAAGAACCUAGGGCCUGAACCCCUGUCCAGUGGCCUCCCCAAGAGCUAAGAUCUGAGGAGGCUGGUCUCCACCUUGCCCCCUGAGCACAUGGCCGAGUCCAGCUGGCACGGGCAGACUCCCAGGGCUCCAGCACACUCGGCUUGGUCUACAUGAAACUGUCUGUACCCACAUCUGUCUGUGUAUGAACCGUCUUUUAUUUUCUGCAUCCUAAUGUUUUGUCAUCUUGGGGCCCUGCUGCCCCUCCCAGGGUUGCCAGUUCCUUCUGAUAACAAACAAGUCACCCGUGAGCACACCUUUCAAAAGCAAACCAGCCAACCCAGAGCCCUCACCCACCCCCUCCUCCUUGGGGCUCCCACACUCUGGGCCACUGUCUACCUGCCCUCAUCACCCAGGGCAGGAACCAGACAACCAGGGAUGGGCCCUGUGCCCCAGAGCCUGCUGGAAUUAUUCAAACUGGCCAGUGUUCAGCCUGCCUUCCCAUGGAAGUCACGAGAGAGGCUCUGGCCCGUGUUUUCCCCUUGUUCCCUCUGCCUCCAGACCAACCCUGGUGCUUCCCCGUGUGGCCCGGCCUGGCUUCUCCUGCCCCCUCCUCUUGGACCUGUGAGUAGCAAACUAUCUCUUCAAUGGCAGUCAUCUUCUGAUCUGCUGGCCUCACUGUACCUCAAAUUUCAUACCAUAUUAACACAUACAUUGAACCUGUCGGCCUCUGGGCCAGCUGGCCAGGCACCCAGGGCAGGGCCAGGCGCAGGGCAGGUGAAUGAGUGACUGAACGAAGCAAUGCAAUGACUGACAAACCCCCAGGACUCAGAGCGUAGCCUGCAAACCGGAGGACAAGUGUCAUCAGUGAAAGGCACGGACCUGGGCCGGAUCCCUCCAGGUCCAAAGGCCGGAUCACCUGAUACUUGUGUGCAGGCGCGAUCACACCACGCCGAGUCUCAGCCGGGCACGUGUAAACCAGGCGCGAGGCCGCCUGCCCUCCAGGUGUCGGGGGUUAGGGGGAUGGUGAACACGAAGCACCUGGCGCAUCAGAGGGACGUGAGAAUGUCCCUUGUUGACGAUAUUACUGCUGUUCUGACUUGGCCUCCAUCAGGCACCUUCUCUGUUCCUGGCGCUGGGCUGGGCCCUGUCCGCAAAGACUGCUCCGGCCCCUGGGGCAACGGUGAGCACAACCCUCGCUCCCAGCAACACGUGCCAACAAGAACAGCGAGCCAGGGGCGCGGGCGCAGGAGGCAGGUCCUUGGAGUGCAUCCCGACAGCCACCACCGCCACGCCGCUCCCUCCACCCACCAAACUCCUGAUGACCUUUCAGGCUCAGCCCUGAGGCCCCACCCUCCUCUGGGCUCCACAGCCUCUGUGUGACCCCGAAUCUCAAGGCACAGGCCUCCCCGUGCUGUAAUUACCAGCUAUACAUCUGUCUCCCGCCCACCCCCAGAGGCUCUGAGCCCCCCGAGGGUGAGGGUCUGGGGCUCGCUCAUCUUCACGUCCCUGGUGCCCGGGAGAGCCUGCCACACGGGAAGCCCUCCAUAAAUACUGGCUCCGCGGGAGUGACCCCCAAUACCUGCUGAGAAUUCAUUCACUCAGCAAACGUGUAGCGGGCACCUCCCCUCGACCGGGUGCUGUCCUAGGUGCUGGAGACAGUGUGCAACAAGGACGGACAGGGUCCUGCUCCCAGACUAAAGGGCAGAUGGACACAAGGUGAGUAACGGAGAUGAAGAGGACAGGAACCUGAGACGCCAGCUCCAAGCCCGCCAGGUCCACCAUGGAGAGCCUCCCAAUGUGCACUUCCUCUGCCAUGUCUGUGCCAUGGCUGCGCCGGUGCACAGUGACCUGCAGCACGGCGUGGGAGCGGGACGACAUCUUGCUGGUGGCGGUGGACUCCUGUGUGCGCUGCCAGUUGCCUUAGGUGAGGAGCUGCAUGGUCUGAGGACAGAGGCAGAAGCGGGCAGACAGUCAAGGGCCCCUGAGUGGCCACACGCUCCCUGCAGAACAAGAGAAGGAGACGUGCCCUCCAGAGCUCCUUAGGGCAGCUCUUCCCCAGCUGGGAUGCUGAUGGCAGAACCGCAUCCAGUGGAAGCAAUUUCUGGUUUGUGGCAUGAAGAGAUUAAUUAAUCGAGUCAACUAAUCCAGCAGGAAUGGCAGAUUGCUGACGCUUAUAGCACCACUUCUGCCUCCUCUACCCAUGGCAGACAUCACCAAUGGAUUACCCAUCUCUAACCCACCGAGCCCUUUUCCAUAUGGAACUCCAGGCAGUUGUACAGAUUUGCUGGAGUUGGCGGGUGGCCUGAAAUCCACUUGUGCACAAGCAGCUGUGGAAAUCAAGCCAGUGUGCCUCUGCUGGGCACCUACUGUGUGCCAGGCAUGCUAGGACCACAGAGCAUUGUGGAGAGAGACUCAUAUGGUUGUUGUUAUUAAAGAAUAGGCAAGAAGUCUCCCCUCCUGCACCUGGAACCCAUGAGGGACGGUGCUAAGGGCAGGUGGCCUCAUGCCUACGCCAGCAUGGCUAGAGCACACGGUUGUCCAGGGCCUGGGGGCCGAGGAGUCCAUGCUGUUCAGAGGCAAUUGGGAGCCUCUGAAAUGUUCUGAGCAGACGGGAGGCCCACCCCAAGGGCUGCACACAGAGAGACUGGAGGGAGAGAGAAAGACAGAGGGCUGCAGAAAUGUUUACAGCUCGCCCUCGUUAUGGGAGCCAGACUUAGGAUCAAGAUGGCAAACAGAUUUCAGACCUGAAGCCGACUCUGACCGCGACUGCCUGGAGUGCCGCCAAGCGUCUGGAUGCAGAGGGAAGAGUGCGUGAUCCAUGGGUGAUGUCUGCCCUGAGCACAGGGCUGUUGAAAGAACCAAAGGAACCAACGGAUGCAGAGGGACCAGUGCAAGGCCAGCACGUAUGAGGUGCUUUGUGCUGUUAGGAAGAGCUCUGCUGCCACCAACCUCAUUCCCUCCGGGGGACACCGGCCUUUGGCAGCACCUGAGGGGCCGUGGGCAAACACCGCCGCGUUGUAUCCAGAAAUGACGCCUUCCACUAGUGCUGGGGUGUGGCAAGGUACACGUCUUCCUGCGGACAGAUGGAAGGAAGACAGGCAAAUGCACACUCCGACCAGAGUCGGGCACCUGGCUGUCUGGAGAGGACAGGUGUAUGGUGCCUGCAAACGCCCUGCUCCCCCUGGACAUGGACAGGGACCUCCACGGUGGCAGCCAGCGCAGCCACGGCACGAGCCCCACCCCAGUCCUGCAGCCGCCUGGACCACGCCGAGCCCCACGGUGAGACCACGGUGAGCGAGGAUCGCACGAGAAUAGUUGCUGUGACGCUUGGAAGACAAGGCGUGACAAGCACUUAAGCACAGCACUUGGAAUGCACUAGCUGCUCAAUAAUUGAUGACCUGGUCCUUCUACUUCCGACACCAUUAAGAUCUCGGCAGCAGAAGACACCUGUCUGCUCGGAGAGCCGGGCCUGUUUCCCUGGCUGGGGUGUGAGCCCCUGUGGGCAGGGAGUGUGUUCUAGCCCCGUGGCGGACAGGACACGGCUUUGUUGGAUGGAUGGGUGGGUGGACAGACGGACACAUGGACACACAGAGGAAUAAAUGAGGAUGCGUGUAAAGCCCGGGCACCUGGCGGCCCCCGGCAUCCAUGGAAGGGGUCUGCUACCUGUCCCUGGAGUGACCCAGAGCACCAACUUCCUCGUUUAUCAGGGAGACCCCAUGAGACGUCACGGAUGAGGUCACCUGGCUGCCAAGCCCUCCCACAUGAGGACACCCUUGGCGGGCCUGGCCCAGCGGGGCCGUGGGCUGGUGGGUAGGGCCGGGCACCUGGGA